rnacentral:tRNA from 1 species
GCCUCAGUAGCCCAGUGGUAGAGCGUUUGCCUAGUAAGCAAAAGGUCCAGUAGUUCGACUCACUGUUGAGGCA